GAUGAACGCUGGCGGCGUGCUUAACACAUGCAAGUCGAGCGAAGCACUUUAUUUGAUUUCCUUCGGGACUGAUUAUUUUGUGACUGAGUGGCGGACGGGUGAGUAACGCGUGGGUAACCUGCCUUGUACAGGGGGAUAACAGUUGGAAACGGCUGCUAAUACCGCAUAAGCGCACGGCAUCGCAUGAUGCAGUGUGAAAAACUCCGGUGGUAUAAGAUGGACCCGCGUUGGAUUAGCUAGUUGGUGAGGUAACGGCCCACCAAGGCGACGAUCCAUAGCCGACCUGAGAGGGUGACCGGCCACAUUGGGACUGAGACACGGCCCAAACUCCUACGGGAGGCAGCAGUGGGGAAUAUUGCACAAUGAGCGAAAGCCUGAUGCAGCGACGCCGCGUGAGCGAAGAAGUAUUUCGGUAUGUAAAGCUCUAUCAGCAGGGAAGAUAAUGACGGUACCUGACUAAGAAGCACCGGCUAAAUACGUG
rnacentral:rRNA from 1 species